rnacentral:rRNA from 1 species
UACGGAAGGGGCAAGCGUUGUUCGGAAUCAUUGGGCGUAAAGGGCGCGUAGGUGGUUCUGUAUGUCUACCGUGAAAGCGUACGGCUCAACCGUAUUUUGUCGGUAGAAACUGCAGGACUUGAGGCUGGGAGGGGCUGGUGGAAUUCCCGGUGUAGCGGUGAAAUGCGUAGAUAUCGGGAAGAACAUCAGUGGCGAAGGCGGCCUGCUGGGCUGUUGCUGACGCUGAGGCGCGACAGCGUGGGGGAGCAAACAGGGA